UACGAAGGGGGCUAGCGUUGCUCGGAAUCACUGGGCGUAAAGGGUGCGUAGGCGGGUUUUUAAGUCAGGGGUGAAAUCCUGGAGCUCAACUCCAGAACUGCCUUUGAUACUGAAGAUCUUGAGUUCGGGAGAGGUGAGUGGAACUGCGAGUGUAGAGGUGAAAUUCGUAGAUAUUCGCAAGAACACCAGUGGCGAAGGCGGCUCACUGGCUCGAUACUGACGCUGAGGUGCGAAAGCGUGGGGAGCAAACAGG
rnacentral:rRNA from 1 species